ACGAACAUGUGCUUCCACAUCCAGCUUGGGAAUCAAACCUAGACUCUCGUUUUUCACUUGCCUACUUGAAAAUUCAUCUACGAAGUAUAUUUAAGUCUAUAAACACUCGAGUUUCCAAUGAAGAAGUUUCAUUUAUUGAUUCCCGGGCCACCUUGUAUGCAGUUAUUGGAUCUCAUCAUCAUCAUCAUAAUAAGCCCGCCCCCGCGUAUCUCGUAACCUUGACGUACAUAUGCAGAGGCCCAAUGCAAGUGCAGUGGAAGAGCAUUUAGCCUUUCAACUGCUGGCAAUCAUUUUUAGCAAAUGUGCCAUUACAAAGGCGAAUUUAUGUUAUGGCAAAUGUUGAAUCUGGGAUACAAACUCAGCAGCACACAUGGAAUAAUAUUUGAGUCAUAAUUUGAUCAACUAAGUUCAAAGAACAGAGGAGCUCACAAGCAUCGAAGAGCACGUAAUCAGACGAAAUAAACACUUGCGCCUCUAAAAUAGAUAAAAAUAUCUACACUUCAAUAAACAUGAAAAUCAUGGACUUUCGGACAGGGGGAAACGGGCCCGAAACGACCGCAAAAUGUGUUGAAAAUUGCGCAGCAAUGUGAUCAUAAAGCAUUCGCCAUUAAUGACACAACCCGACAGAUACAUCCCAUUGUCAAUAACUUUUACGCGCCGCAGAUUGCCGCCCCGUUCCAAAAUCAAAUUCAAAUUUCCCAAACGAGCCACAGCCACAGCAUCAGCAUGCAUGCACUUGCAGAUAUGUAUAUGUGUAGAUGCCAAUGACGUUACAAUUCAGCGAAAGAGGAGGGCAUUCGGCAACUGGGUGCUGCGGCUGGCGCAAGUGAUGGCAUCCGCCAAAGCGCUGUUCGCCAGCGACUAGCGACUAGCGACUCGCGAAUCGCACAAGACACUCGCACAUCCGUAAAUUUAUCGACAAACAUUUGGACAGCGCCGGGACAGGCGACUGGCGGCGGCGGCGGCGUUGACUAGACAAACUGCGCGAUACGCGCGAGAGGCGCAACAAGCGGUGGCAGCACCAGUGCAGGCAGUUCGAUGCAGCGAACUGGCGGAUCGUUGCUUCCUUUUCAAUUAUUAAGUGUUGCCAACUAUGCGCGAAUGGGCGAUAAACGAGCCGCAUGUGUGUGUGCCUGUGUGUGUUUGUGUGUGCAACUGUGGGGCACUCAUAAUUCGCGACACGUUGCCGCACCUCGCUGCUUGUUGUGUGUCUUCAAUCUUGUGCAAUGGAUCUGUAACUGCAUCCAUGUAGCCAUUUAUUUCGUAUUGCCUGGCAGAUAACUGCCAAUGCAUUUUUUCUUCUCCGUCUUCUUCUUCUUUUUCUUCUUCCUGUGGCGCCACCUUGUUGUGCCGCCUGGCGUAUUUUUCUAUAGCCAACAAGAAACUGUUCGACCAGGAAAGUUAACGCCUCGGGCAUUCGAAUUUCCAUUUGAUAGUUAAUUUACGACAUUUAUAUGCCUUUGGAUGGGUUUUUGGAAUCAGCGCUCAACGUGACAUUUGCAUUCGACUGUUAACUCUCAAUGGUCUAUGAAAACAUAUUAAAAUUAUAGUUUCAAAAAGAAAUGCCUAUGCUAAAUUAUAGAAAUUAAAACAAUGACAUUAAAAACAUUCUUAAUUUCC